rnacentral:tRNA from 1 species
GCCCCGGUAGCUCAGUCGGAUAGAGCGACGGCCUCCUAAGCCGUAGGUCGCAGGUUCGAAUCCUGCUCGGGGCACCA